rnacentral:tRNA from 1 species
CCUGGUGGCUCAGAUGGUAAAGCGUCUGCCUAUAAUGCAGGAGACCUGGGUUCAAUCCUUGGGUCAGGA